ACCCAUGAGCAGGAUGAAGCGAAAGUAAAAUUUCGUGGAGGUCCGAACCCACGGGCGUUGAAAAGCUCGGGGAUGACUUGUGGGUAGCGGUGAAAUUCCAAGCGAGCCCGGAGAUAGCUGGUUCUCCCCGAAAUAGCUUUAGGGCUAGCCUCAAGGUGAGAGAUACGGAGGUAGAGCACUGAAUGUCCUAGGGGGUAUUGCACCUACCGAAGACUA
rnacentral:rRNA from 1 species